rnacentral:rRNA from 1 species
UCGGGAAUUUUGGGCAAUGGGCGAAAGCCUGACCCAGCAACGCCGCGUGAGGGAUGAAGUAUUUCGGUAUGUAAACCUCGAAAGAAUGGGAAGAAUAAAUGACGGUACCAUUUAUAAGCUCCGGCUAACUACGUGCCAGCAGCCGCGGUAAUACGUAGGGAGCAAGCGUUGUUCGGAUUUACUGGGCGUAAAGGGCGCGUAGGCGGCGCGGUAAGUCACUUGUGAAAUCUCUGAGCUUAACUCAGAACGGCCAAGUGACACUGCUGUGCUAGAGUGCGGAAGAGGCAACCGGAAUUCUUGGUGUAGCGGUGAAAUGCGUAGAUAUCAAGAGGAACACCAGAGGCGAAGGCGGGUUGCUGGGCCGACACUGACGCUGAUGCGCGAAAGCCAGGGGAGCAAACG